UACGGGGGGGGCAAGCGUUGUCCGGAAUUAUUGGGCGUAAAGGGCGCGUAGGUGGGAUAGCAAGUCUGGGGUGCAAACUUAUGGCUUAACUGUAAGCUUGCCCUGGAUACUACUAUUCUUGAGUUCGGGAGAGGGAAGUGGAAUUCCUGGUGUAGCGGUGAAAUGCGUAGAUAUCAGGAAGAACACCGGUGGCGAAGGCGGCUUCCUGGCCCGAUACUGACACUGAGGCGCGAAAGUGCGGGGAGCAAACAGGAUUAGAUACCCUGGUAGUCCGCACAGUAAACGUUGGACACUAGGUGUUGGUCUCUAUGAGAUCAGCGCCGCAGCUAACGCAUUAAGUGUCCCGCCUGGGGAGUACGACCGCAAGGUUGAA
rnacentral:rRNA from 1 species